GUUAUAUGGUCAAGUGAAGAAGCGCAUACGGUGGAUGCCUUGGCAGUCAGAGGCGAUGAAAGACGUGGUAGCCUGCGAAAAGCUUCGGGGAGUCGGCAAACAGACUUUGAUCCGGAGAUCUCUGAAUGGGGGAACCCACCUAGGAUAACCUAGGUAUCUUGUACUGAAUCCAUAGGUGCAAGAGGCGAACCAGGGAACUGAAACAUCUAAGUACCCUGAGGAAAAGAAAUCAACCGAGAUUCCCUUAGUAGUGGCGAGCGAACGGGGAUUAGCCCUUAAGCUUCAUUGAUUUUAGCGGAACGCUCUGGAAAGUGCGGCCAUAGUGGGUGAUAGCCCCGUACGCGAAAAGGAUCUUUGAAGUGAAAUCGAGUAGGACGGAGCACGAGAAACUUUGUCUGAACAUGGGGGGACCAUCCUCCAAGGCUAAAUACUACUGACUGACCGAUAGUGAACCAGUACCGUGAGGGAAAGGCGAAAAGAACCCCGGAGAGGGGAGUGAAAUAGAACCUGAAACCGUAUGCGUACAAGCAGUGGGAGCCUACUUGUUAGGUGACUGCGUACCUUUUGUAUAAUGGGUCAGCGACUUAUAUUCAGUGGCAAGCUUAACCGUAUAGGGUAGGCGUAGCGAAAGCGAGUCUUAAUAGGGCGUUUAGUCGCUGGGUAUAGACCCGAAACCGGGCGAUCUAUCCAUGAGCAGGUUGAAGGUUAGGUAACACUGACUGGAGGACCGAACCCACUCCCGUUGAAAAGGUAGGGGAUGACUUGUGGAUCGGAGUGAAAGGCUAAUCAAGCUCGGAGAUAGCUGGUUCUCCUCGAAAGCUAUUUAGGUAGCGCCUCAUGUAUCACUCUGGGGGGUAGAGCACUGUUUCGGCUAGGGGUCAUCCCGACUUACCAAACCGAUGCAAACUCCGAAUACCCAGAAGUGCCGAGCAUGGGAGACACACGGCGGGUGCUAACGUCCGUCGUGAAAAGGGAAACAACCCAGACCGCCAGCUAAGGUCCCAAAGUUGUGGUUAAGUGGUAAACGAUGUGGGAAGGCUUAGACAGCUAGGAGGUUGGCUUAGAAGCAGCCACCCUUUAAAGAAAGCGUAAUAGCUCACUAGUCGAGUCGGCCUGCGCGGAAGAUGUAACGGGGCUCAAACCACACACCGAAGCUGCGGGUGUCACGUAAGUGACGCGGUAGAGGAGCGUUCUGUAAGCCUGUGAAGGUGAGUUGAGAAGCUUGCUGGAGGUAUCAGAAGUGCGAAUGCUGACAUGAGUAACGACAAUGGGUGUGAAAAACACCCACGCCGAAAGACCAAGGGUUCCUGCGCAACGUUAAUCGACGCAGGGUUAGUCGGUUCCUAAGGCGAGGCUGAAAAGCGUAGUCGAUGGGAAACAGGUUAAUAUUCCUGUACUUCUGGUUACUGCGAUGGAGGGACGGAGAAGGCUAGGCCAGCUUGGCGUUGGUUGUCCAAGUUUAAGGUGGUAGGCUGAAAUCUUAGGUAAAUCCGGGGUUUCAAGGCCGAGAGCUGAUGACGAGUCGUCUUUUAGAUGACGAAGUGGUUGAUGCCAUGCUUCCAAGAAAAGCUUCUAAGCUUCAGGUAACCAGGAACCGUACCCCAAACCGACACAGGUGGUCGGGUAGAGAAUACCAAGGCGCUUGAGAGAACUCGGGUGAAGGAACUAGGCAAAAUGGCACCGUAACUUCGGGAGAAGGUGCGCCGGCUAGGGUGAAGGAUUUACUCCGUAAGCUCUGGCUGGUCGAAGAUACCAGGCCGCUGCGACUGUUUAUUAAAAACACAGCACUCUGCAAACACGAAAGUGGACGUAUAGGGUGUGACGCCUGCCCGGUGCCGGAAGGUUAAUUGAUGGGGUUAGCGCAAGCGAAGCUCUUGAUCGAAGCCCCGGUAAACGGCGGCCGUAACUAUAACGGUCCUAAGGUAGCGAAAUUCCUUGUCGGGUAAGUUCCGACCUGCACGAAUGGCGUAACGAUGGCGGCGCUGUCUCCACCCGAGACUCAGUGAAAUUGAAAUCGCUGUGAAGAUGCAGUGUAUCCGCGGCUAGACGGAAAGACCCCGUGAACCUUUACUGUAGCUUUGCACUGGACUUUGAGCCUGCUUGUGUAGGAUAGGUGGGAGGCUUUGAAGCGUGGACGCCAGUUCGCGUGGAGCCAUCCUUGAAAUACCACCCUGGCAUGCUUGAGGUUCUAACUCUGGUCCGUGAUCCGGAUCGAGGACAGUGUAUGGUGGGCAGUUUGACUGGGGCGGUCUCCUCCUAAAGAGUAACGGAGGAGUACGAAGGUGCGCUCAGACCGGUCGGAAAUCGGUCGCAGAGUAUAAAGGCAAAAGCGCGCUUGACUGCGAGACAGACACGUCGAGCAGGUACGAAAGUAGGUCUUAGUGAUCCGGUGGUUCUGUAUGGAAGGGCCAUCGCUCAACGGAUAAAAGGUACUCCGGGGAUAACAGGCUGAUACCGCCCAAGAGUUCAUAUCGACGGCGGUGUUUGGCACCUCGAUGUCGGCUCAUCACAUCCUGGGGCUGAAGCCGGUCCCAAGGGUAUGGCUGUUCGCCAUUUAAAGUGGUACGCGAGCUGGGUUUAGAACGUCGUGAGACAGUUCGGUCCCUAUCUGCCGUGGACGUUUGAGAUUUGAGAGGGGCUGCUCCUAGUACGAGAGGACCGGAGUGGACGAACCUCUGGUGUUCCGGUUGUCACGCCAGUGGCAUUGCCGGGUAGCUAUGUUCGGAAAAGAUAACCGCUGAAAGCAUCUAAGCGGGAAACUUGCCUCAAGAUGAGAUCUCACUGGGAACUUGAUUCCCCUGAAGGGCCGUCGAAGACUACGACGUUGAUAGGCUGGGUGUGUAAGCGUUGUGAGGCGUUGAGCUAACCAGUACUAAUUGCCCGUGAGGCUUGACCAUAUAACACCCAAACA
rnacentral:rRNA from 1 species